AGUGGACGCUGGCGGUAGGCCUAACACAUGCAAGUCGAACGGCAGCACAGUAAGAGCUUGCUCUUACGGGUGGCGAGUUGCGGACGGGUGAGGAAUACAUCGGAAUCUACUUUUUCGUGGGGGAUAACGUAGGGAAACUUACGCUAAUACCGCAUACGACCUACGGGUGAAAGCAGGGGAUCUUCGGACCUUGCGCGAUUGAAUGAGCCGAUGUCGGAUUAGCUAGUUGGCGGGGUAAAGGCCCACCAAGGCGACGAUCCGUAGCUGGUCUGAGAGGAUGAUCAGCCACACUGGAACUGAGACACGGUGCAGACUCCUAAGGGAGGAAGCAGUGGGGAAUAUUGGACAAUGGGCGCAAGCCUGAUACAGCCAUACCGCGUGGGUGAAGAAGGCCUUCGGGUUGUAAAGCCCUUUUGUUGGGAAAGAAAAGCAGCAGGUUAAUACCCCGAUGUUCUGACGGUACCAAAAGAAUAAGCACCGGCUAAAUUCGUG
rnacentral:rRNA from 1 species